ensembl:lncRNA
UGGAGUCCUGGGGACUCCAUUGCCUGCCCUGGAGAUGGUGGGAGGACUCACUGCCUUCGGUGAACUUGGUGUGGGGCCAGGGUGAGGCCGUCCUGCAGAGCUUGUGUGGAAACAGCAGGCCAGGAGAAGGGUGGCUGGAAAAUUUACUGAGAUAAUGGGAAAGAAGGAAAGAGGAGAAGUUCUACUGCUGGGGUGGAAAUCAGGUCUCCCCGUUCUUACAGCUGUCCCAUGGUCAUUGCAGCCACACACUUCUGACUCAAGCUGUUGACUGGAGGUCUGCCCUGCUCCACCAAACAGCGAGCCGCAUAGAAAGUCUGACCCAGAACUUGUGUGAGGGGACCCUUGUGACAUGGAAAGAAAGAAGGGGGUCCAAAGGAACACUCCAGAACUCUUCCUUGUUCCUUCGUUUGGCUCUUGAUGAGGUGAGAGCUGCAGCGGGGCAUGUAGAGACUCUUGUUUGCAAUAACAUCACUCUGCAGCGCAGUCUGGUGAGGAGGACCAUAAGGCUCUACGUGGCCGUAUGCACUGACACACCAACACCACGAUGUCGAAAUACGGACGGGAAAGACUUCACAUCUGCCUGUUUCUCCCGAGUGAAGGACCUACCAGAAGCCUCUCUUGGAAAAGUUAAAGAGACGCUAAUUAAAAGAAUACAGUAUGUCCCUGAUGAGGGACUGUUGACAAAGACCUGACUCCACGAGUCAUUGGAGCAGCUCCUUACCAAGAUGCAAGAUGUAACAGAUCUGAUCUGGAAAUCACCUUAAUUGCUGAAAGACCACCACUUCCCUCCAAGAGACACAACAGACCAUAAGGACCACAGAUUUUUUUCUUAAAGUGAUAUUGCCGGAUAGAGCAGCACAUCAGGAGCUUGGGUUUUGCAUAACACCAGGGAAGAUUCACAGGAAAAUCACAGGAGUUGGCAACAGAGAGCUUUUCCUUCGGAACGGGCUGGCACGGCUCGACGCACAGAUGUUCCAAAGAGCAGCUCCUUCGCUGGUGCAACUCCAGCUUCACCGGUGCCAGGGGAUGGAUGCGAGUUGAGAGCUGCUGUGGAUCUGCCACCCUCAGGUUUUAAGGAGCAUGGAGGAGCACUGAGCUGGUUUGGUGCCUCACUAGAGACAUGUGCCAGCUAGUGAGCACCUUCUCUGGGAGCCGCCCUCUGUGUGAUGGGCAAAAGGGAAGCUGAACGCCUUCCUCCCUGCUCUUCAUCACUUUGGGGGUGCUGGUGCACAAUGGAAAGCCCCAGGACUUUUGUUCAGUGCAACCAUCCAAGGAAGGAGGGAAAGAUUUCAGCAUGGAAAACUUGUGCCUUUCCACCAGCUUUUGCAUCCGAACCAGCACAGCUUGUGUCUGCUCUACUGAGUCAGGCUCUCAGGGCACCUGGAAAGGAAAACUGGCUUUGGAGACAAAGGUCCCGCCUUGCUUUUAGGAGGGGACAGUGGGAGCCUGGGGCUCCCUCUAUUUUGGGGACAGGGUGGCUACUGUGCUACAAAGACUGCCUUCUGCAUCUCCCCUGCUGAAAUCUCACAUCACAGUGCUUCCCGGGGUCAGCCUGACAGCAUCCAUCCCAUCGGCGCACAGAAAGUGCGGAUUUUGGAGAGGGGAACAUAAUUUUAAAGUUGGCCUGAGAAACCUCCAUCUAGUUUUCAGGGUUCCAGAAUGUUGUUUUAUUAGGAUUACAGUCUUGUUCUUCUUAGGUUUCAGCAGGCGUUUAUGACUGUUACAACAGGAAUGAAAAGCUGGGGCUGGAAUCGGCAUUGCUUUCUCCUGCCAGGCGCAGGGUUCACGGUAGAGGCCAGACAUAUGUCUUUCUCCCACAGAUGCUACUUUUUUUCUGGAUGAGGAGGUGAGCUCCAGCCUCUCCCUGGAAGAGAGGGCUGGCAGCAGCGCUGAGCUGAGAUGUGGGGUCUGCACAGGGGCCCAUUGGCUGAAGAUCCUGGAUUGUGGAGGACUAAUGCUUCCAGGCAAGCAAAGCCUGCAGCAUCCUUUUGUUCCUGGUGCAUUCAAUGGGCAGUGCAUUGACUCAGCCUUUUACUCAAAGGACACGAGGAUGCUGUAGAUUUCUCCAUUUGACCAGCUGGAUUUGCACCUGAGUUUUGAUCCCACGGCUCCAGCUGAAGCUCUCCUUACUUCUGCAGAGAUUGUCCCCUAUGCCAGCAGGACCACCUGAGCCAUUGGCCAUCACCCAGCAGGGAAAGGAUCCCGGGCAGCUUGUCAGGCAUGUUAUGGUGGUCACGUGUGUGAUCUGCCUCCCAAGAGGAAGACAUUUGGGUUGCUGUACCAGAGCCAUGGGACGAGCUUUGCUCACGCCAGCAAGCAGCGUGCCCACCUAGUCCCUGGAGAUCUGGUAAGCAGUUAGCACUUGCUAAGCGGAUAUUGCUUCAUCUUCUGUUAUUACUUGUGUUUGCUAGGUCAAACUGACACCAACUGGUCUGCCACGGCCACAUCAGAGUACCUAUCCAGAGUCUCUGGAGAGCUGCUGAACUGUAAGGAUGUGCAAAGCCCAUAUUCCUGUGACUGCCUAUGUUUGCUAGGUCAGACUGACACUGAUCUGCAGAGAGGAGCUAUGGGCACACCUUUGUUUUACUCUGGAGGAAUAUCCUCUAUCACUCCAGGCCUUAAUUCCUCAUCAGUGAUGAACUGCUGGUGGUAUCCACAGACUGUGGCUCUGUGAUUUGGUGUGGUGGGAAAGCAGAAGCCCCAAGGCACACUGGAGGUGUAACGUUCUGCUAUAAGAACCGAAGAUACAGAAGUGAUAUUAUUGGCAGCUUGGCUGCUGACUGGGUGAGCCCUACAAAAUUCCUUUGAUGUUUUAGUCAUAUUUGAUAGGAAUAGGGCCAGACAAAAAAAAAAAAAACUCCAGAGUCUUCCAAAUCCUAAAAUGCAAAAACAAAGCGUUGGACCCUUUCAUUUCCUUCACAGUUCAGAGACUGCAAGGAAAAUGAUUUGAAGCAUUUCCUUCUUCUAACACCAAAACAGAGCCUGGCUUUUACAUAAGGAGAAAACUAUUUGUCGAGUGCUGCGAGCUGCGCUUUGCUAUCACACCGUUUCACAGAACCAGAAGAUACAAAUCAAUGGGGAAAUGUACAGUUGUAGUCCUGUGAUUUCUAUAUCUGCUUUUGCAAUGAUUAUGAUGACAGGACACAUCUCUUUCUUGCUCCCUCGAAGAUUUAUUUUUCUCUGCCCAGCCCUUUUUCUUAUGUUUCUGUAGUUCUCCGAAUAUAAUCUGCUGCCCUUAAUCACGUUUAAAAAAUCACACUGACUUGAAAGGAAAAUGUUAAGUUCUUCAAUGAAUGGAAAAAUACUUCUGUUGUUUAAAUGUAAGUAAUUAAACUGAGGACUUUCUCCAAAGUAAACCUUGACAAUCUAACAACCAUCUUUGGCUUUUGCGCCGAUGGAGUUUCUUUUACAUUUUUAAAUGCAUUCCUUGUUUCAGUAAAUGACACCGGGCUCACCAGCAGUGACUGAGUGAUUAGUUUAUCAUCCUCUUAGUGCAGCCAUCUAGAUCUUUAACUCUUUAAGCAGUGGCAUUUAAGACUUGAGAACACCCAGGAACAUGCCUGAGGCUUUAGGCAUUCUCAAUUCAAGCAAAUCUUGGAUAUCAGGUGAAAACGAAUAAAAGAAAGUAGAUGGGCGCACUCUGAUAACGCUUUAAACAAGUCAGGUAAGCUAAAUUGCAAAUAAACAGCAGGCUUUUUAAAGAGGAAGCCAAUUCCCCUUUCCUGGGACCGCUUGGGUCAUCAGGUGUCUGAGCAGCAUAAAGUUACGUGGAGAAAAUCUCCCUGCGUACAAAGGGAGCAAAGGGUGACAGUGCAUUUCCCAAG